AACUUUCAACAACGGAUCUCUUGGUUCUGGCAUCGAUGAAGAACGCAGCGAAAUGCGAUAAGUAAUGUGAAUUGCAGAAUUCAGUGAAUCAUCGAAUCUUUGAACGCACAUUGCGCCCGCGAGUAUUCUCGCGGGCAUGCCUGUUCGAGCGUCA
rnacentral:rRNA from 2 species